UACAGAGGGGGCAAGCGUUAUUCGGAAUUAUUGGGCGUAAAGGGCGCGUAGGCGGCUUGGCAAGUGGAUGGUGAAAUCCCUCGGCUUAACCGAGGAACUGCCGUCCAAACUGCUUCGCUUGAGACCGGGAGAGGUGAGUGGAAUUCCUGGUGUAGCGGUGAAAUGCGCAGAUAUCAGGAAGAACACCAAUGGCGAAAGCAGCUCUCUGGGACGGUACUGACGCUGAGACGCGAAAGCGUGGGGAGCGAACAGG
rnacentral:rRNA from 1 species